UUUACACUUUUAUUGUAUUGUAAUAAAAAAAUGAAAAUAUUUAUAUUUUUUGCGUCGCUGUUCACAAUUUUUAACAUUGUUUUAUGUGAUAACAGCAUCUGGGACAUAUUCGGAAGUUUGGAAAAAGUGGAGUCGGAAGCGACAUAUGAUUUUCAUAGAGUGGUCGAAAUCAUACCGAAACUUAUCGACGUCAUUAAUGGACCCAUCAACCACCUUUCGCAAAUACCAAAAGUGGACGAAGUGUUCCACGACUUUGGGUCAUGCUUCUCUAAUGGUAUUAUGAAGCUGAUUAACCACUUCGUGCCGGCACCAUUCGUGCCGUUGCUCACGAAACCGCUCUGCCACUGGCUUAAGAACCUAUCACUUACUCCGGAGUUCUGUAAGCAGAAUUAUUAUAAUGACAAAUGAUUAAAAGUUUGAUGGUAAAU